CAACCAUCCCACCUCGGCUUUUUCCCUAAGAAAAUCGAAAGGGCGCCCUUCCCAUUUUCUUAAGGAAAAAAGCCCUUGGAACGAGGUUGA